rnacentral:lncRNA from 1 species
AAAAAGAUUAAACCUUUUUAAAAAAGAUUAAACAACCAAACUAGCAAAAAGUACUCAAUACAUACUUUCCUUAUAUCAAACAAGCUAAUAUUUCAGUACAAUGUAACUAUACAGAAUAUAUACAAUACACAUAUAUAUUCACAAAGCAAACACUAUAGGCUCAGAACAGAUUUGAAAAAACAUGAUAUUCACAUUGAUUACAAUAACUCUAAAAAUGAUUGUAACAUUGAAACGGCACUUAGUAUACAAAAAAGUCACAAAAUGAGAUGAUGACUGGAUACAUAGCUGGUGAACUAGAGCCUGGCACAGAUACAAAAGCUGUUCUGGUUCUAGGAGAGGACAGAAGCAUGAAAACAUCCUUCUACAAAAUUUAAUUCACAUUUCUUCUCCAGCAUCACCUUCCCUCCCUCAAGGGUUUCACAAAAUGCCAGGGCCCCAAAAGAAUCAUAAUGCUAUUAACUAGCAAGAUAAACGUUUCUCCCACACUUCCUUGAUGUUGGGCUA